UGAGGAAUAUUGGUCAAUGGGCGAGAGCCUGAACCAGCCAAAUCGCGUGAAGGAUGAAGGUAUUAUGUAUUGUAAACUUCUUUUGUCAGGGAAUAAAGUGCAUCACGUGUGGUGUUUUGUAUGUACCUGAAGAAUAAGGAUCGGCUAACUCCGUGCCAGCAGCCGCGGUAAUACGGAGGAUCCAAGCGUUAUCCGGAUUUAUUGGGUUUAAAGGGUGCGUAGGCGGACUAAUAAGUCAGCGGUGAAAGUUCUGGGCUCAACCGAGAAAUUGCCGUUGAAACUGUUAGUCUUGAGUGUAGAUGAAGUGUGCGGAAUUCGUAGUGUAGCGGUGAAAUGCUUAGAUAUUACGAAGAACUCCAAUUGCGAAGGCAGCUCACUAGGCUACAACUGACGCUGAGGCACGAAGGUGUGGGUAUCAAACA
rnacentral:rRNA from 1 species